rnacentral:snRNA from 1 species
GGAUAUGAGGCAAUACUUGUGAGAUUAGUUGUCCCAUUAGUCACCAGGGUUGGUUUGGCUGAUCAUGCUGAAUAGGCUUGUGCCUAUUCUAUAUUCUCCUUUAGCAUUCCAAGUGUGUUUUUCCUGAAGCUGCACAACACAAUCAAAUGGGAUGACUCAUCCAAUUAGAGAGGCCUGGGUUUUUUGGUUGAGAGUAUACAGUAGUUGCUAGAACCUCUAGACAAAAAUAAAUAUUUAAUAUAGUCUAGGUUU